rnacentral:misc_RNA from 1 species
GAUGAAGAACGUAGCGAAAUGCGAUACGUAAUGUGAAUUGCAGAAUUCAGUGAAUCAUCGAGUCUUUGAACGCACAUUGCGCCCCCUGGUACUCCGGGGGGCAUGCCUGUCCGAGCGUCAUUGCUGCCCUCAAGCACGGCUUGUGUGUUGGGCCUCCGUCCUCCUCCCGGGGGACGGGCCCGAAAGGCAGCGGCGGCACCGCGUCCGGUCCUCGAGCGUAUGGGGCUUCGUCACCCGCUCUUGUAGGCCCGGCCGGCGCUUGCCGACACAUCAAUCUUUUUUCCAGGUUGACCUCGGAUCAGGUAGGGAUACCCGCUGAACUUAAGCAUAUCAAUAAGCGGAGGA